rnacentral:rRNA from 1 species
GAUGAACGCUGGCGGCGUGCUUAAUACAUGCAAGUCGAACGAAGCACCUUGGACAGAAUCCUUCGGGAGGAAGACCAUUGUGACUGAGUGGCGGACGGGUGAGUAACGCGUGGGCAACCUGCCUUGUACAGGGGGAUAACAGUUGGAAACGACUGCUAAUACCGCAUAAGCGCACAGUACCGCAUGGUACGGUGUGAAAAACUCCGGUGGUACAAGAUGGACCCGCGUCUGAUUAGCUGGUUGGUGAGGUAACGGCCCACCAAGGCGACGAUCAGUAGCCGACUUGAGAGAGUGAUCGGCCACAUUGGGACUGAGACACGGCCCAAACUCCUACGGGAGGCAGCAGUAGGGAAUAUUGCACAAUGGGGGAAACCCUGAUGCAGCGACGCCGCGUGAAGGAAGAAGUAUUUCGGUAUGUAAACUUCUAUCAGCAAGGAAGAAAAUGACGGUACUUGACUAAGAAGCCCCGGCUAA